ACGGGGCCCGCACAAGCAGUGGAGCAUGUGGUUUAAUUCGAUGCAACGCGAAGAACCUUACCUGGGCUUGAACUGCAGGCGUAGUCGCUUGAAAGGGCGGCGAACUCCUUCGGGAAGACCUGUAGAGGUGCUGCAUGGCUGUCGUCAGCUCGUGUCGUGAGAUGGUUGGGUUAGGUCCCGCAACGAGCGCAACCCUCGACCUUAGUUGCCAGCAUUCAGUUGGGCACUCUAAGGUGACUGAACCGGCUAAAGUCGGAGGAAGGUGGGAUGACGUCAAAUCAUCAUGCCCCUUAUGACCUGGGCUACACACGUGCUACAAUGGGCGGUACAAAGGGUCGCGAACCCGCGAGGGGGAGCCAAUCCCAAAAAGCCGCUCUCAGUUCGGAUUGCAGGCUGCAACUCGCCUGCAUGAAGCCGGAAUCGCUAGUAAUCGCGGAUCAGCAUGCCGCGGUGAAUACGUUCCCGGGCCUU
rnacentral:rRNA from 1 species